rnacentral:lncRNA from 1 species
AUGUACUUUAAAAUAAACAAUAUCAUGAAUAUACAGCUUGAUAAUUCUGAGAUGCUAAUUGGCAAUCCACCUGUGUUUAUUGUCAUUGACAGUGCUUUUAGUGUAGCUUACGGCAGAGAAUGUGUCGCAGCUGCGGUGCACUUGCUGGAGAAGAUCUGCAAAGGAGUCAAACCUGCAGGGUUUGGUCGGACCUACACGGAAAUUCCAGUGGCCUGCUUGAAUCUCGUCGCACUGGUUGCAGACUUCCGAGACCAGAACCAGGUGUCUCAAGAUGGGACAGAUGAUGAGCAUUAUGCAAAAGACCUUGAGAUGUUAUAUCAAGCGAUGUCCGUCAUGAGAAAAUGGAUCAGUCAGACCUUCGAAAAGACGUCCAUUUAUACUUCCUACUCCAUCCGAGGCAAUAGUUCUGAAAGUGAAAUUCAAGUGAGUGUCCCAGAAAUAUUUCAAGGGAGAGGUCUGCACUAUUUAUUGACAUACAAAAUAUUAAGAUUCUGUAUUUCUGUUAUAUUUUGCUGUUUAUUCAUUCCUUUACAGAUUUGGGAAAAUGUAAUCUCGCUCAAUUUAAAAAAUGGAGAUUUUACAAAGGAAUGGAAAACGAUAAUGACAAUGGAUUUGGAGGGCACCUUACAGAAGGUGUGUACAGCAUUUUUUGAAAAUACAUAUAUUUUCAGGGGGAAAUUCAAAAUGUUAACAUGUUUGCGUGGCUUUAGGUAUCUCCAUUGGCUCAAAUUGAAUUCUACUGCUCAAAGAAUGAAAAACAUCGUCAUUCUCAUCCAAAUGUUGCUGCUGUUAUUGAGAAGUGUGCUCUAGAGGCGGUCACCUCAUUGUGCAAGGUAUGCAUAUUUAAAGAAAUAAUAUUUUUUUCAUUUUAUCGUCGGUGUAGAAUUAAUACAUCUGGAUCAUCUUAAUAUAUCAUUAGCUAUGUUUUAUGUGGAAUCACAAGGUCAUCAGACAAGGUAGAACACAGUGCUAUCGUAUUAGAAAAAAAAAAAAAAGUAUAAUGUAUAUAUAUAAUUUUAUAUGUGUGUGUGUGUGUGUGUGUGUGUGUGUGUGUGUGUAUAGAUGUAGGUAGGUAGGUAUAUAUAUGUAUUUGUGUGUGUAUAUAUAUAUAUAUCUAGAGCUGUCAUUUUCUCGCUCUCGUGCCCUCUCUCGUGCGCUCUCGUGCUCUCUCUCGUUCUCUCUCUCAUGCUCUCUCUCUCGCUCUCAUGCUCUCUCUCGCUCUCGUGCUCUCUCUCUCUCUCGCGCUCUCUCUCUCUUGUGCUCUCUCUUGUGCUCUCUAUAUAUUAAAGGUGUAGUUCGGAAUUUUGGACAUAGGGCCUGAUUCCCAAGUGAGCUUUGGUAUUCUUUAUCAUUGGAGACAGUUUUCAACACAUUUCAUUCAGUCCUUCUAGUUGCAGAGUUCGCUCGUGCUAGGCUAGCGCACGUCAACGGGCAAUGCUAGCCUGCUAUUAAAAACAGUGUUACCCACUCCACAGUACACCCGAGGUAAAUCAAUUAUAACGACAGACUAUAAAUGUAAAUGUCUGUUUAUAGAAUAAUGUUAGAAAUAAAACCAACCUUGCAUCGCAUUGCAUUUUGAGGGAAUUGCUGGGUCACAGCAGCAGUGUUAUAUUCCUGGUAGUAGGCUACGGCAGCAGCGGACUGAUACCUAGGUUACCGGCUCUAGUUUGUUUACCUGCCGCUGUCAUUGCUACAAACGUAGAGUACAGUGAACGAAGGAAUUCUAUUAGCGUAUUCAAUUAACAAGAUAUGGCCACGUUUGGAGGACUUAGCGAUGCAUCUGCUUUUGAAGACGAUUAUGAGGAAUUUGUUGUAUCCAACGAACCGUACAUGUACGAGCCGGUGUUUUGAUGUCCAAGCCAGCAGCAACAAGCCACAGUUGAGUCCUUUCCGGAUCUCACACUGGAAAUUGGUGGAAACUUUGUCGUGCCCAUCUGUAGCGUAUAUUUCUACAAUUUCUAAAAGCACACUGAACCACCAUGUUGCCUAGUCGUUCAAUUGCGCUUAUGUCCCACGCUUCUCUGUUUACGUUCUUCUGUCGUGAUUCGGUUACAAAACUAACCAGCGCUUAGUAAAAUUCCGCUUCUGCUGAGAAAGUAGUCACUCGAUGAUUCAUGCGAUG